GAUGAACGCUAGCUACAGGCUUAACACAUGCAAGUCGAGGGGAAACGACAUCGAAAGCUUGCUUUUGAUGGGCGUCGACCGGCGCACGGGUGAGUAACGCGUAUCCAACCUGCCCACCACUUGGGGAUAACCUUGCGAAAGUAAGACUAAUACCCAAUGAUAUCUCUAGAAGACAUCUGAAAGAGAUUAAAGAUUUAUCGGUGAUGGCUGGGGAUGCGUCUGAUUAGCUUGUUGGCGGGGUAAAGGCCCACCAAGGCUACGAGCAGUAGGGGUUCUGAGAGGAAGGUCCCCCACAUUGGAACUGAGACACGGUCCAAACUCCUACGGGAGGCAGCAGUGAGGAAUAUUGGUCAAUGGACGAGAGUCUGAACCAGCCAAGUAGCGUGCAGGAUGACGGCCCUAUGGGUUGUAAACUGCUUUUAUAAGGGAAUAAAGUGUGUCUCGUGAGACUUUUUGCAUGUACCUUAUGAAUAAGGACCGGCUAAUUCCGUGCCAGCAGCCGCAGUAA
rnacentral:rRNA from 1 species